UCCAGGGUAGCCUAGUGGACAUGGCAUCUGCCCGGUAAACGGAACACUGUCCGGUUCGAUUCCCAUCUCUGGAC